CCCUUAGAUGUUCUGGGCCGCACGCGCGCUACACUGAUGCAUUCAACAAGCCUAGCCUUGACCGAGAGGUCCGGGUAAUCUUUGAAACUGCAUCGUGAUGGGGCUAGAUUAUUGCAAUUAUUAAUCUUCAACGAGGAAUGCCUAGUAAGCGUGAUUCAUCAAAUCGCGCUGAUUACGUCCCUGCCCUUUGUACACACCGCCCGUCGCUACUACCGAUUGAAUGGUUUAGUGAGACCCUCGGAUCCGUCCCGGCGCGGCCGUUCGCGGCCGCGCCGGCGCGCGGAGAAGACGGUCGAACUUGAUCAUUUAGAGGAAGUAAAAGUCGUAACA
rnacentral:rRNA from 1 species